rnacentral:rRNA from 1 species
AACGAACGCUGGCGGCAUGCCUAAUACAUGCAAGUCGAACGAGAUCUUCGGAUCUAGUGGCGCACGGGUGCGUAACGCGUGGGAAUCUGCCCUUGGGUGCGGAAUAACUUCUGGAAACGGAAGCUAAUACCGGAUGAUGACGUAAGUCCAAAGAUUUAUCGCCCAAGGAUGAGCCCGCGUAGGAUUAUCUAGUUGGUGGGGUAAAGGCCCACCAAGGCGACGAUCCUUAGCUGGUCUGAGAGGAUGAUCAGCCACACUGGGACUGAGACACGGCCCAGACUCCUACGGGAGGCAGCAGUAGGGAAUAUUGGACAAUGGGGGAAACCCUGAUGCAGCAAUGCCGCGUGAGUGAUGAAGGCCUUAGGGUUGUAAAGCUCUUUUACCCGGGAUGAUAAUGACAGUACCGGGAGAAUAAGCUCCGGCUAACUCCGUG